rnacentral:rRNA from 1 species
UACGAAGGGGGCUAGCGUUGCUCGGAAUUACUGGGCGUAAAGGGCGCGUAGGCGGACAGUUUAGUCAGAGGUGAAAGCCCAGGGCUCAACCUUGGAAUUGCCUUUGAUACUGGCUGUCUUGAGUUCGGGAGAGGUGAGUGGAAUGCCGAGUGUAGAGGUGAAAUUCGUAGAUAUUCGGCGGAACACCAGUGGCGAAGGCGACUCACUGGCCCGAUACUGACGCUGAGGAGCGAAAGCGUGGGGAGCAGA